UACAGAGGGCUCAAGCGUUGUUCGGAUUCAUUGGGCGUAAAGGGUGUGUAGGUGGCGCGCUAAGUCGGGUGUGAAAUUUCGGAGCUUAACUCCGAAACUGCAUUCGAUACUGGCGUGCUUGAGGACUGGAGAGGAGACUGGAAUUCAUGGUGUAGCAGUGAAAUGCGUAGAGAUCAUGAGGAAGACCAGUGGCGAAGGCGGGUCUCUGGACAGUUCCUGACACUGAGACACGAAGGUCAGGGGAGCAAACGGG
rnacentral:rRNA from 1 species